GGUCCUAUAGCUCAGUUGGUUAGAGCACCUGACUCAUAAUCAGGGGGUCCCUGGUUCGAGCCCAGGUGGGACCACCA
rnacentral:tRNA from 3 species